AUGCCAGGUGGAAGAGUGUGUCUCCAGUUGCUAUGGGUACCAACCACCCAUCCCCUAUGUUUCUUUGAGUGCCAGGUAGUUAUUCCAGAAAUAUACAGUAAAAAGUGCCAGAAGAAACCAAAAGUUGUCAGAUCUUUUAUAGUCAGGGGAUCUAGGACUGCGGUCUUAAAGUGUUCAACUUGCUCCUACUUCUUAACAUCUGCAAAGAACACGGGUCACAAGUGCCCAAUGAAAGCUCUGACCUUGAAGGCCUAAAAGGUGGAACAAAGUUCAGGACAAUGGCUCCAGAUGGGGAAAGGCAAAUAGCCCAGCGGUUGAGGAAGUUGAAAACAAUGCAAGAUGCACAUUGCUGUAGCAAAGGUACAACGUUGUCUGUAAUCCCACUUUCAUGCUUAAACAUUUCUGCUGUAAAUAAUUGCUACUAACGUAAGUGAGAUAAGAGAUGGUCUGUCUGCGAGGCCACAAUGGACUGAAUCCUGGUUCAGAUUUGUCUGAAAUGAAAAUGUUAAAAACCAAACAAAGACAAAGUUAAGAAAGGGUUAGGGGGGCAGAGGUCAUUUGUGUAUCGGUUCAAAGGACUCUAUUGUCCAAAGAAAGCCUUGAUAUUAAUUUCCUUACCAAGAGAACUCCAGAAUUAACACUUGUCUCUUUUAGCUUUUGGUGAACAUUAUUCUUGUUCUAGUCAAUAAGCUGUAUGCGUGGAUUGCAAGAGGCAGGAAAGCUGUAUAGGUAUUAACAUGGUUUAAGGAUUUAGGACUUUAAUAAAGGUGGUAAGUAACAGAGCUGUGCGAAAGGG
rnacentral:lncRNA from 1 species